rnacentral:lncRNA from 1 species
UGCGAAUCUGCACCGAAUGAGAAAAAAAUACAGAAGUGCUGCCCCUUGCCUGCUGUGCAUUGCGAAAUGGUUCUCCAGCCUGGAGCUCUGCUUUCACAGGGUCUGGUGCAGGGGACCAGGGUCUGCAGGAAAAUCUCCCCAAAAACAUCCCCGUGUUCCAAAGGCUUUGCUUGCUGCGUGCCACCUGCAGCUCCAGGCAAACCCGUGCUUCUGAGGGUGCAAAGGAGAGCAUGUUCUCCAGAGAGGAGCAUCUCGUGGUUAUCAGUAAGGGAAGGAUCUGGUGGCAGUACAGCGUACGGUGACAGCACCAGUUUUGACCAUUUUUUAAUGCUCGGGUGCUGGCAGGGACCUGCUCGGCACCAACUCCUGCCCUGCUCGGGGCUGAUGCUGUUGGCAUUGCCUCUGCUGCCUCCUGCGCUGGAUCUGGCCGCUUUGCUUCGCGUUGGAGCCAUCCAGAGGACGGCAGGGAGAAGAAGCUUG